GUCGGAAUUGCUAGUAAUCGCGGAUCAGAAUGCUGCGGUGAAUACGUUCCCGGGCCUUGUACACACCGCCCGUCACACCAUGAGAGCCGGUAACACCCGAAGUCAGGAGCCUAACCGCAAGGAGGGCGCUGCCGAAGGUGGGAUUGGUAAUUGGGGUGAAGUCGUAACAAGGUAUC
rnacentral:rRNA from 1 species